CACACCCAGCCAGGCUCCCCCGCAGGUGAGUGAGCUACAGGCUGGACUCAGGGCUCAGGACUCAGGCUGCUGCGGGGAGGUGGGGUCCUGGGUGACUGGGUCUGCCCCUCCUCGGUGACCCCUCCGUGCACGCCCCCAGCCCCAGCACCCAGGACCUCACCCUGGAGAACCUCAUCAGCAUGGGCGUGGCGGGCUUGGUCCUGCUGGGCCUCGGGCUUCUGCUGGCGGAGGCUUGGUACAGCCACAGAAGGACCCGAGCUGCAGGCCAGCGAUGACCUGGAGAGAGGACAGCGCUGGGUCAGAGAGGCUGUGCCCCGGGGGCGGGGGAGGUGGGAGGCCAGAGGCCGGGCAUGGCUGGUGAGAAGCUGCUGGGAAGUGGGCGGAGCUCACCUUGUGUUGUGGGAAUCCUGCUCAGGGGCAGGGACCCGGGUGGGCCGCUGGCGGUGCUGCUUCCCCGGGCUCCCACGCGCAUUCUGGGAAGGGGCUCUGGCCUCCCGCAGCCCUGCCCACCGCCCUGCAGGCUCCCGUGCAGUUCUGUGCUGUUCCUCUCCAGGGACCGCACACAGCUCAGUGGCCCUGAGUGUCCACAGGAGCGGGGUCGAACGGCCCAUCGAUAGGGCGACACCGGGAUUCACUCCCCUUGACCUUCAGCAAGUGGGCAGGACGUGGGCCGGACACCUGUCACUCAAGAUGGAUUCACCAUUCCACUCACCAAAAGGAGGCGAUGACACGUGGGGUCAGAUAUGGGAGAUCACAAUUAAUGGAUCUGGGCUGGCUCUGUGGUGUAGUGGGUAAAAGCUGCCACCUGCGGUGCCGGCAUCCCCUGUGGGCACCGGUUCGACACUCAGCUGCUCCACUUCUGAUCCAGCUCUCUGCUAUGGCCUGGGAAAGCAGCAGAAGAUGGCCCAAGUCCUUGAGCCCCUGCAUCCAUGUGGGACACUCAGAUGAAACUCGGGGCUCUGGCUGGGGAUCAGCCGAGCUCCGGCUGUGAGGGCCCAUUGGGACUGAACCAGCAGAUGGAUACCUCUCUCCCUCCUUCUCUCUGUAUCUGUGACUUUCAAAUAAAUAUUUUAAAAAGCUUGUGGCUCAUCAAACUCUAAGGUAAAAUCCCAGAUGACCAUGGGACUCCGCCCUCUGAGAGGACCACACACAAGUGAAAGACUGAAAGUGUGUGCAGGGUUUCUUCCGGCACGGAACGUUCAAGGUCACCUGGAUUUCUCAGUGCACAUCUAACAUAAACCCCACAACACGGUUGGCUCUGGUGGACGGCAGCACCCGGUGUUCUGGAAGAGAGCGGAUGCCUGCCCGGCUUCCUCUGAUGGCUGAUUACUCUGCUUGUCUGUGCGGUGCAAGUCUGCGUUUCCCACAGAGUUCAGUGAGGCGGGUGGAGGGUGCGCCUGGAUACUUCUCCCGUGUUUCCAGUUAUGGGCUGGGGACUCCACCCCACCACAGCAUAGCUUAGGGGGUAAAGCCAACACCAGCAGUGCCGGCAUCACAUAUGGUAUGGCCAAGUUGGAGUCCCGGCUGCUCCGCUUCUGAUCCAGCUCCCUGCUAAUGCGCCUGGGAAAGCAGUAGAGAACGACCCAAGUGCUUGGGUCCCUGCACCCACGUGGGAGACCCAGAAGCUCCUGCCUGGCUCCUGGCUUCAGCCUCGCCCAGCUAUAUGGGGAGCGAGCCAUUGGAUGGGAAACCUCUGCCUCUGAUUCUCCUCUCUCCAUCUCUCCCUCUGAAAUAAAUAAAUCAGUCUUUAAAAAAAUUUUUAAGCACUCUAGAAGGAAAUACCUGGGUAAAUAUGACCUCAGACUUCAUCACAGCGUCUAAGCUGUGAUUCUGAAAGUACAAGGAACAAAUGGGAAAAUGGCUGAAUUGAUCAUCCCCAAAACUUCAGAAGUCUGUGCACCAUGGACAGCUAUCAAGGGAACAGAAAGACAACUAACACAUUGUGUAAAGAUCUGGAAGCCACAACAGGAAAAGCAAGGGUGCAACUCACAAGAGAAGGGAAGUGAAAAUAAUGCCACAGAGAGGCACCCCCCACGCCCACCACACUGAUCACUUCUCGAAGACAAAGCAGGCAGAGUGUGGUCAGGGUGUGGGGCAAUCUCAGCCCUGAGACGCGGCUGGAAUGUGCAGGGUUCAGCCACUGCGGCAAGAGGCUCCUAGUUCCUCAAAGCACCUGACCCAGUGUCAGCACAGCACAGAGCAACCCACCCCCUGCAUGGAGUCAGGCGCUCCCAUCAACCCACAUCCUGGCAAGGGUCAGGGUCAGGUGCAGCGCUCACCAGUGUGCUGAGUGCAGGCUCUGUGGAGCGUUCUCACCACCGAGGGCCAGGGGGAGGCCCUGACAACCAUCCAGGGACUGUGCACACAGGCAUCCGUCCAAGCACAGCCGGCCAGGGACAGGAGCCGGAUGUGCACCGGGGAUGCAGGGCUCGGGGUGGUGGGUCCCUGGCUCCGUGGGAACUCUGCUGAGCCCCAGGAAGCCAUGAAGUGAGGAUGUGUGCGGCAGAGGGUGCAGCCACACACAAAAGGCCCCGCGUAGCACCAUUCCCAGAAACACCCAGGGCUGGGAGCCCACAGAGCCAUGGGGCUGGGCGGGGCUGGCGGGGCUGAUGGCUGCAUGAUGUGGGGCUUCCUCCUGGGGUGAGGCCAGAGCAGGUCAUUGAAUGUCUGGGGCUUUACCGUGAACGCCACUGCAUGCACGCUUUGCCAGCUCCUGUUUCUGGGAGGGGGACUUCCUCUCAACCUGAUGCAGGCUAAGGAAAGGACAGAUGCCUGUGGGUGCCUUGUAACCCGAGGCUGUGACGAGCCGCCAUAGUUCUCUCCUGGGUCCCCAUCCCAGAGCAGGCAGCUGAGAGCCUGCCCUCUGCCCUCCACUCCAAACACGGCUGAGGAUGGGGUCUUCCAUUCUGUCUGGGACCCGGGACCGCUUCUGAUUCACCUCUGGGGAUGGCGGGCGCUCCUAGGGACUUCUAAGGAGCGGUGCCUACCAGAACGGUGCUGUCCCCACGUCUGAAUCUGGAAGGGACACUGCAGGACCCUGAGACUGGAGUGCUGCAGCCACGGCCACCCAGAGAGGGGAGGUCUCGGGCUUCCUCCCACCACAGAGACGCUGGGGGACAACGUCACCUGUUCAGGUCGCUCAGGAAGCGGCACCCCCAUGUCAUCCAGGAGCACGGGGCCCAGGUGCUCAGAUCAGGGGAGGAGAGGCCGUGGGGGGCUCAGGAAGCAGGUGCCGGAAUCCCCAGCCCCACGUGAGUGUGUAUCUGCACACGGGCCCAGUGCCCUGCUCCCAGUCCCCUCUACCUAAUGAGAAACCCGGUACAGUGCAGGCAGCACAGGGUGUGCGGCGCUGGACCCCGGCUGGGCUGGUCAGGGCACCACCAUAUUCUCAGUUCCUAGGGUAGCUCGGGGCCUCUGCCCCCAGACACCCUCCCCUCCUCACAGCUGCUCGCCAGGCCCUGGGCCCACCAGCUCCCAGCAGGACCCCACCCUAAGAUCGUGUCCCCUGUUGUGGGCCCUGCUGCACCUGCCACAGCCACAGCUGGGCUGCAGCUCAGCCACACCUCUGCAGCGUCUGUGCCUUCUUCAUCCCCCCUGUCAGCGCCAAAGGCCUGGAAGAUUCCGUCACCCUCCCCACAGGAUCCAGCCCUCCCCACUCCCCUCCCCUCCCCCGCCCCCACAACUGCACUCAACAGCUCAGGAAAGGGAAGUGCGUGUCUCGGCCACCCGGCCUGUGCAGGGAGAACCAGAACCCUAACUGGACAGAGAGUGGACUCCUCUAGGGGUGGGGCUAGAGUAGGGGAGGGAGGCUGGGCAGUCACAGUACAGGGGGCAGCAGAGGCGGAGGCCUGGUCCUAGCUGUCCCUAGUGUCCGCUGUUUCCUGGGCCCCUUCCUCAGGGACAGCGGGGGAGGUCAGGGAGGGGCUGCCCCCGUUCCUGUGAGGCCACAGAUGAGGAACCCGUGACGUCUCCCCGCUCAUCUCCAGCCGGAUUCUGGGCCUGCGCCCCUCACAGCUACUCUGCUCCACGGGACCAUGGGCGGCGGGGCCCAGACCCCAGCCCUCACUGCCCUCCUCUGCCUGGGGCUGUGCCGGGUGCCAGGGGAUGGGGCACAGGCGGGGACCCUCCCCAAGCCCUCCAUCUGGGCCGACCCAGGCCCCCUGGUCGCCGUAGGAAGCCCUGUGACCCUCUGGUGCCAGGGCUCUCUGCAGGCUGAGGUCUAUCAUAUGUAUACAGAGAGCGGCCGUCAUCCCUGGGAAGCGAGGCCCCAGCAGGACUCCAGACACAAGGCCAGCUUCUCCGUGAUCACGUCCAUGAGCUCCCAUGACACAGGGCAGUACUGUUGUGUGUAUUGGACCUUGCUCGGCCACUCCCAGCCCAGUGAACCCCUGACCCUGGUGGUGACGGGGAUGUUCCCAGCGCCCUCCCUGUCGGCCCAGCCAAGCCCCGUGGUGGCGUCAGGAGAGAACGUGUCCCUCUCCUGUGGCUCAGAUGAGGCGGGCACUGCCCAUCUGCUGAAGGAGGGUGGAGCCGGCCCCCUGCACAGCCUGGAAGCCAGAUACUCCCAUGGGGCUGGGCUGUGGCAGGCCACCUUCCUCCUGGGCCCCGUGGACAGCACCCAAAGGGGCAUCUACAGGUGCUACCGUGCUGACACCAACAAGACCCAUGUGUGGUCACUGCCCAGUGACCCCCUGCAGCUGGAGGUGUCAGCACAAUAAAGAAGGAAACAUGGUUCCUUGGAAUUACCAUCCAAUCCAACAGUUCCUCUCCUGCACAUAUAACCACAGGGAUUGAAGCAGGAACCCAAGAAGGUGUUGCAUCCACGGGUUCAUAGCAGCCUCAUUCACAUGAGCCCAAAGAUGCCAGCAACCAGAAUAUGCAGACCAGUUUUGCCAAAUGUGGACCUUGCACACGUACGCUGCUGGUGGGGACGCGGAUUGGAAAACGGCAUGGGGAGUCCUCAGGAAACGGGUCGACCACACGACGCAGCCAUCGCACUCCCGGGAACAUGGGCAAUCGCUUUCUAUUGACCGCGUGUUCAACCGACAUUCUGGAUACACUGGGCGAAGCGCACCACAAACAUCCAUUCUGCCUGGUUCUUUGCACAAUGUGGCUGGUGGAACACCUGCAGGCCCCCGUGUGGCUUCUGUGUUGAAGGCCUGGGCCAGGACUCCUGCCGCUGAGCCGCUGAGCCGCUGGCUGGCUGGAUCAGUAGGCAGAGGCCGCGCCAACAGCAACACCUGCACAGCAAGCCAGCUGCCAAUCCGCUCCUUCAGCUACAAAGUUACCCCUGCCUGCCUAGACUGGGAACCGGCCCUUUUCCUGUGUGCUGUAGUUACUGUGUCGUUUAUAGGACGUUCUAUGGGGACAUUAGAAAAGUUUACUUUGGUGCAAAAAAGUUGAAAUCCAUGAAUAUGCAUUUUCCAUAAACUUUCUGAAGGUCUCUCUGUGCACCAAAGUGUCCUCUCAUUGUAUUUUCCACAAGCUCUCAAGUGCAUCACCAAUGGGGGCUGGGGCGCACGUUGUCUCGGGGAAGCAGACGGCAGGCGACCACAGCCACAGGCCAUCAGCAAUCAGCUCGGCUGCAAUUGCGAUCAUCUGGGACCCUAAAGAACCCCGGGGGCUGGGCAGUCCCGAU